ACGGGUGAGUAAUACAUCGGAACGUGUCCUGUAGUGGGGGAUAGCCCGGCGAAAGCCGGAUUAAUACCGCAUACGCUCUGCGGAGGAAAGCGGGGGAUCCUUCGGGACCUCGCGCUACAGGGGCGGCCGAUGGCAGAUUAGCUAGUUGGUGGGGUAAAGGCCUACCAAGGCGACGAUCUGUAGCUGGUCUGAGAGGACGACCAGCCACACUGGGACUGAGACACGGCCCAGACUCCUACGGGAGGCAGCAGUGGGGAAUUUUGGACAAUGGGCGCAAGCCUGAUCCAGCAAUGCCGCGUGUGUGAAGAAGGCCUUCGGGUUGUAAAGCACUUUUGUCCGGAAAGAAAACCUCGUGGUUAAUACCCGUGGGGGAUGACGGUACCGGAAGAAUAAGCACCGGCUAACUACGUGCCAGCAGCCGCGGUAAUACGUAGGGUGCAAGCGUUAAUCGGAAUUACUGGGCGUAAAGCGUGCGCAGGCGGUUCGCUAAGACAGAUGUGAAAUCCCCGGGCUUAACCUGGGAACUGCAUUUGUGACUGGCGGGCUAGAGUAUGGCAGAGGGGGGUAGAAUUCCACGUGUAGCAGUG
rnacentral:rRNA from 1 species